GACGGGGGAUGCAAGUGUUAUCCGGAAUCACUGGGCGUAAAGCGUCUGCAGGUGGUUUCCUAAGUCCACUGUUAAACCUUGAGGCUCAACCUCAAAUCUGCAUUGGAAACUAGGAGACUUGAGUAUAGUAGGGGUAGAGGGAAUUUCCUGUGUAGCGGUGAAAUGCGUAGAUAUAGGAAGGAACACCAGUGGCGAAGGCGACCACCUGGACUGAUACUGACACUGAGGUGCGAAAGCGUGGGGAGCAAACAGG
rnacentral:rRNA from 1 species